UCGAGCUUGCUCACAGGCACAUCAUAUCCAUAACACCUGUGCACUUGUCGGAUGGCUUAGUGAAGACCGCAAGGUUGGAUCUAUCCAUCUACUUUACAUAACAAUUCUGUAACAAAUGUAGUCUUAUUAUAACAUAAUAAAACUUUCAACAACGGAUCUCUUGGCUCUCGCAUCGAUGAAGAACGCAGCGAAAUGCGAUAAGUAAUGUGAAUUGCAGAAUUCAGUGAAUCAUCGAAUCUUUGAACGCACCUUGCGCUCCUUGGUAUUCCGAGGAGCAUGCCUGUUUGAGUGUCAUGAAAACCCUCAACCCUAGAUUGGUUAAAACCUUUCUUUGGUUUGGAUUUGGACGUUUGCCGAUGAUAAGUCGGCUCGUCUUAAAAGUAAUAGCUGGAUCUGUCUCGCGACAUGGUUUGACUUGGCGUAAUAAGUAUUUCGCUAAGGACAUCUUCGGAUGGCCGCGUUGCAGGACUAAAGACCGCUUUCUAAUCCAUUGAUCUUACGAUUAAUAUUCUUGACAUCUGGCCUCAAAUCAGGUAGGACUACCCGCUGAACUUAAGCAUAUCAAUAAGCGGAGGAA
rnacentral:rRNA from 1 species